GAUGAAGAACGUAGCGAAACGCGAUAAGUAGUGUGAAUUACAGAAUUCAGUGAAUCAUCGAAUCUUUGAACGCACAUUGCGCCCCAUGGUAUUCCGUGGGGCAUGCCUGUUCGAGCGUCAUUUACCCCCUCAAGCUCCGCUUGGUGUUGGGCGUCUGUCCCGCUUCGCGCGCGGACUCGCCCCAAAGGUAUUGGCAGCGGUCGUGCCAGCUUCUCGCGCAGCACAUUGCGCUUCUCGAGGCACCGGUGGGCCCGCGUCCAUCAAGCUCACCCCCCCAGUUUGACCUCGGAUCAGGUAGGGAUACCCGCUGAACUUAAGCAUAUCAAUAAGCGGAGGA
rnacentral:misc_RNA from 1 species